rnacentral:rRNA from 1 species
UACGAAGGGUGCAAACGUUGCUCGGAAUCAUUGGGCGUAAAGCGCACGUAGGCGGAUUGCCAAGUCGGACGUGAAAUCCCUCAGCUCAACUGAGGACGUGCAUCCGAAACUGGCGAGCUUGAGUACUGAAGAGGAUCGCGGAAUUCCCGGUGUAGAGGUGAAAUUCGUAGAUAUCGGGAGGAACACCAGUGGCGAAGGCGGCGAUCUGGGCAGAUACUGACGCUGAGGUGCGAAAGCGUGGGGAGCAAACAGG